rnacentral:hammerhead_ribozyme from 1 species
AUCCAUCUGACGAGUCUCACAUCGGACAAAACGCGCGUCGUAGAU